rnacentral:rRNA from 1 species
GACGAACGCUGGCGGCGUGCUUAACACAUGCAAGUCGAACGAAGAGCGAUGGAAGCUUGCUUCUAUCAAUCUUAGUGGCGAACGGGUGAGUAAUGCGUAAUCAACCUGCCCUUCAGAGGGGGACAACAGUUGGAAACGACUGCUAAUACCGCAUACGAUCUGACCUCGGCAUCGAGGAUAGAUGAAAGGUGGCCUCUACAUGUAAGCUAUCACUGAAGGAGGGGAUUGCGUCUGAUUAGCUAGUUGGAGGGGUAACGGCCCACCAAGGCGAUGAUCAGUAGCCGGUCUGAGAGGAUGAACGGCCACAUUGGGACUGAGACACGGCCCAGACUCCUACGGGAGGCAGCAGUGGGGAAUCUUCCGCAAUGGACGAAAGUCUGACGGAGCAACGCCGCGUGAGUGAUGACGGCCUUCGGGUUGUAAAGCUCUGUUAAUCGGGACGAAAGGCCUUUUUGCGAAUAGUGAGAAGGAUUGACGGUACCGGAAUAGAAAGCCACGGCUAACUACGUG